UACGUAGGGUGCGAGCGUUGUCCGGAAUUAUUGGGCGUAAAGAGCUCGUAGGCGGUUUGUCACGUCUGCUGUGAAAUCCCGAGGCUCAACCUCCGGCCUGCAGUGGGUACGGGCAAACUAGAGUGCGGUAGGGGAGAUUGGAAUUCCUGGUGUAGCGGUGGAAUGCGCAGAUAUCAGGAGGAACACCGAUGGCGAAGGCAGAUCUCUGGGCCGUAACUGACGCUGAGGAGCGAAAGCUAGGGGAGCAAACGGG
rnacentral:rRNA from 1 species